UUGGGAGAGCGGAGGCUCGCUGGCGGGUCCACCCGCCAGAGGAAAGUCCGAACACCAUAGGGCGCGAUGCCGCGUAACCCGUCGUUUCGGCGGCGGGAUAUGCGCGGGAGGCAACGCCGCGAGGCGUCCCGACGGACAGUGCCACAGAAAACAAACCGCCCGGCUCCGGCCGGGUAAGGGUGAAAAGGUGGGGUAAGAGCCCACCGCUCGCCGCGCAAGCGUCGAGGCACGGAAAACCCCAUCGGGUGCAAGGCCAAAUAGGAAACCGGGACGUGGCCCGCGUCGCGCGGGACGAAAGUCCCGCCGGUUUCGGGUUGGGCCGCUCAGACAAAUGAGCCUCUCCUCCGGCGACGGAGCAGACAGAAUUCGGCUUACAGCUCUCCCAAGACC
rnacentral:RNase_P_RNA from 1 species